GCCGCUAUAGCUCAGUCGGUUAGAGCGUGGGUCUAAUAAGCUCUGCUAGCGGCA
rnacentral:tRNA from 1 species